AUGCAGUCGAGCGGAUGAAGGGAGCUUGCUCCUGGAUUCAGCGGCGGACGGGUGAGUAAUGCCUAGGAAUCUGCCUGGUAGUGGGGGAUAACGUCCGGAAACGGGCGCUAAUACCGCAUACGUCCUGAGGGAGAAAGUGGGGGAUCUUCGGACCUCACGCUAUCAGAUGAGCCUAGGUCGGAUUAGCUAGUUGGUGGGGUAAAGGCCUACCAAGGCGACGAUCCGUAACUGGUCUGAGAGGAUGAUCAGUCACACUGGAACUGAGACACGGUCCAGACUCCUACGGGAGGCAGCAGUGGGGAAUAUUGGACAAUGGGCGAAAGCCUGAUCCAGCCAUGCCGCGUGUGUGAAGAAGGUCUUCGGAUUGUAAAGCACUUUAAGUUGGGAGGAAGGGCAGUAAGUUAAUACCUUGCUGUUUUGACGUUACCAACAGAAUAAGCACCGGCUAACUUCGUGCCAGCAGCCGCGGUAAUACGAAGGGUGCAAGCGUUAAUCGGAAUUACUGGGCGUAAAGCGCGCGUAGGUGGUUCAGCAAGUUGGAUGUGAAAUCCCCGGGCUCAACCUGGGAACUGCAUCCAAAACUACUGAGCUAGAGUACGGUAGAGGGUGGUGGAAUUUCCUGUGUAGCGGUGAAAUGCGUAGAUAUAGGAAGGUACACCCAGUGGGGAAGGCGA
rnacentral:rRNA from 1 species